rnacentral:rRNA from 1 species
UACGAAGGGGGCUAGCGUUGUUCGGAAUUACUGGGCGUAAAGCGUGCGCAGGCGGCUUCUCAAGUCAGGGGUGAAAGCCCAGAGCUCAACUCUGGAAUUGCCUUUGAGACUGAGUGGCUUGAGUACGAGAGAGGUGAGUGGAAUUCCCAGUGUAGAGGUGAAAUUCGUAGAUAUUGGGAAGAACACCGGUGGCGAAGGCGGCUCACUGGCUCGUUACUGACGCUCAUGCACGACAGCGUGGGGAUCAAACAGG